GGUAGUUGGAGAGUUUGGCCGACACUUCGGAUUUGCAUUUAGAAUGUUCCACGAUUGAACAUUGCGAGCGGUUGCCCAACCGUAAAAGUUAUUGUAGAUGUCAUGAUAACAGAGAUUCGGUGGUUAAUGAACUCGACCACGCUGGGUAUUUUUGAGCCGAUGAAAGUCUGGCAAUUGAAUUCAGAGGGUCUGAAGAAGGUUUUCCCAUGA